GACCGCGUAUAUAGCUCAGUUGGCAGAGCAUUGGGCUAGUAUUCCAAAGGUCGUAGGUUCGAUUCCCACCGUGGCCA